UUUCAUGAGAGUUUGAUCCUGGCUCAGGAUUAACGCUGGCGGCGUGCAUAACACAUGCAAGUCGAACGAUGA
rnacentral:rRNA from 1 species